rnacentral:rRNA from 1 species
GUAGCGAAAUUCCUUGUCGGGUAAGUUCCGACCUGCACGAAUGGCGUAACGACAGCGGCGCUGUCUCCACCCGAGACUCAGUGAAAUUGAAAUCGCUGUGAAGAUGCAGCGUUCCCGUGGCAAGACGGAAAGACCCCGUGAACCUUUACUAUAGCUUUACACUGAACGUUGAGUUCGUCUGUGUAGGAUAGGUGGGAGGCUUUGAAGUGUCGGCGCUAGCUGGCAUGGAGCCAUCCUUGAAAUACCACCCUUAUCUUCGUGGAUGUCUAACUGCGGUCCGUUAUCCGGAUCCAGGACAGUGUGUGGUGGGUAGUUUGACUGGGGCGGUCUCCUCCUAAAGAGUAACGGAGGAGCUCGAAGGUACGCUCAGCGCGGUCGGACAUCGCGCACUGUGUGCAAAGGCAUAAGCGUGCUUGACUGCAAGAUCGACGGAUC